UACGAAGGGGGCGAGCGUUAUUCGGAAUCACUGGGCGUAAAGCGUGCGUAGGCUGUUCCACAAGUUGGAAGUGAAAGCCCAGGGCUCAACCCUGGAAUUGCUUUCAAAACUGUGGGACUAGAAUCCGGGAGAGGAUAGCGGAAUUUCCAGUGUAGUAGUGAAAUACGUAGAUAUUGGAAGGAACACCAGUGGCGUAAGCGGCUAUCUGGACCGGCAUUGACGCUGAGGCACGAAAGCGUGGGGAUCAAACAGG
rnacentral:rRNA from 1 species